rnacentral:rRNA from 5 species
UACAAUGACUCUCGGCAACGGAUAUCUCGGCUCUUGCAUCGAUGAAGAACGUAGCGAAAUGCGAUACUUGGUGUGAAUUGCAGAAUCCCGUGAACCAUCGAGUCUUUGAACGCAAGUUGCGCCCGAAGCCAUUAGGUCGAGGGCACGUCUGCCUGGGUGUCACA